CUGAAAUACGAUAAAUGUCGGUCGUGUCGGAC
rnacentral:sRNA from 1 species